CCUACGGGUGGCAGCAGUGAGGAAUAUUGGUCAAUGGGCGAGAGCCUGAACCAGCCAAGUCGCGUGAAGGAUGAAGGCUCUAUGGUUUGUAAACUUCUUUUAUAUGGGAAUAAAAUGAUGAACGUGUUGGUUUUUGUAUGUACCAUAUGAAUAAGCAUCGGCUAACUCCGUGCCAGCAGCCGCGGUAAUACGGAGGAUGCGAGCGUUAUCCGGAUUUAUUGGGUUUAAAGGGAGCGUAGGUGGGUAAUUAAGUCAGUGGUGAAAGUUUGUGGCUCAACCAUAAAAUUGCCGUUGAAACUGGGUGACUUGAGUACAGUAGAGGUAGGCGGAAUUCGUGGUGUAGCGGUGAAAUGCUUAGAUAUCACGAAGAACUCCGAUUGCGAAGGCAGCUUACUGGACUGCAACUGACACUGAGGCUCGAAAGUGUGGGUAUCAAACAGGAUUAGAUACCCCUGUAGUC
rnacentral:rRNA from 1 species